rnacentral:misc_RNA from 1 species
AAGUCGUAACAAGGUUUCCGUAGGUGAACCUGCGGAAGGAUCAUUAUUGUAGGGACUCCGGUCCCCUCAAGAUGCAACCCGUGCCUUUUUUGUAGCCCGUAACGUUUCCUCGGCAGCCCCGCUGCCAGCGAGGACCCCCCAAACCAAACCUGCAAUCUCAGUAAACAAUUCAGAAACCCCCCAAAAUUUAAAACUUUCAACAAUGGAUCUCUUGGCUCUG